GCCUGAUAAAAUGCUCAGAAUAAAUGAGAUAAUUCUCAGAAUUAUAGUGCUCAAAACAAAUGGAAAGGACUUACCUACUGCAAUGGCUGCUUUCCUCUUCUUGUUAUGUUGCGUGUAGAUUACUACCCGACGUCUUCCGCCACACCGUGUUGACGGAUACGGGAUUGUUUAUUAUCUUUUAAAAGGACCUCCUAGACCCUUUGCUUGCUUCUCUGCUACGCUUCUCUGUAAAUGCUUGUACCUCCAGGAUACAUUCUGUGCUUUAAACAAUUGGAGAGGACUUACUGUACCGAGCGCUGUCGCUUGCCUCUCUAUGUUGAAGAUUGACGUCCGUCGCCUUGUUCUAGGUUGAAAGGACGCCGAUAUAUUUGGACUAGUCUGGAUCCUUGAAAACGUUGCUCUCCUCUUUUCUAUUGAUGCGGAUGAUGGUAUUUGAUUUGCUUGAUGACCCAACGAACCAGCAGUGGGAUGUUUUUCCACGGCGCCGAUCUUCAGGAAAACGGAGUAAAACGCGAACGCGAUCAACUGAACGCGAAAGACCCGCUAUUCCCGGAUAG